rnacentral:rRNA from 1 species
AUUGAACGCUGGCGGCAGGCCUAACACAUGCAAGUCGAACGGUAACAGGAAGAAGCUUGCUUCUUUGCUGACGGGUGGCGUACGGGUGUUUAAUGUCUGGUAAACUGCCUGAUGGAGGUGGAUAACUACUGGAAACUGUCGCUAAUACCGCAUAAUGUCGCAAGACCAACUAGUGGUACCUUCGGGCCUCUUGCCAUCUGAUCUGCCCAGAUGGGCUUCGCUAGUAGGUGGGGUAACGGCUCACCUCGGCGAAGGUACCUAGCUGGGUUGAGAGGAUGACCAGGCACACUGGAACUGAGACACGGUACAGACGCCUACGGGAGGCAGCAGGCGGGAAUAUUGCACAAUAGGCGCAAGGCUGAUGCAGCCAUGCCGCGUGUAUGAAGAAGGCCGUCGGGAUGUAAAGAACGUUCAGAGGGGAGGACGGGAGUAAAGUGAAUAACUUGGCUCAUUGAAGGUACCCGAAGAAGAAGACCAGGCUAACUAAGUG